CAGAAACCUCCUCCCCCCUCGUAGACUUUCGUUAAUACAAAAAUUUUGUAAUUUGUAUGGAGCGUAGACUUUGGCUAGACCCCCCCCCCCUCCCCCCAAAAAGUCUACGUGGUUUAUGAAUGGUCCCUGUUGGAAUCAAAUUGACUUUAUGUUAAAUAUUCCUAAGUUAUUAAAUUAGUUGAGAAUUUUGAGCACAACUUGGACAGCAACAUGGCAUAAUUAUAGUAAUCUAAAGUUGAGAUAUUUUGUUUGAUUGAAUUUGUGGUAGGUUAGUGUUAAUCAAGUAGGCUAAGAAGAAAAGUCAAAGAAUUGCACAUCCAGCUGUCAAGAAAUCAGCACGUAACCCACCACAGAAUUCAUUUCGCUUUUACGAAAAAAAUGUAUAAACUUCAUGUCGGCAUAUUAAUCAUUCAUGCAAAGUUUUUUUUUAGAGUGACCGGUGAAGCUGCAGAACAGUUUUGCAAAGCCUGGACCAAGGACUGGAUCCUUUCCCAAUAGCUGGCCCAAAUACAGGGGAUAGACAAAAUGAUCGAGACAUGUAAAAUUUUCACUAAACGCUCAAAAUUUCAUUGCAUUCGGUUCAUUGAAUCCGGAGAUAUAAUAGCUCAAAGUUAGCUAUCGAAUAUUUUUGACAUUUUCUAGAAUAUUUCUAACUUCAUGCCCAAUAACCCGAUCUUGCCCAAAAUUGGACCAUUGAUACCUUGAUUGAUACACAACUACUUGAUCAACUUACAGUAUUUUUUUUUUAUUUUUGAUGCACUUUUCAAAAAGUUACAGCUAUUUGACCAUAUCUUGAAAAAUGAAAAUUUUAUCUGUCCCGAUCAUUUUGUCUAUCCCCUGUACACAAAAGUUUUCGGGAUUUUAUUUAAAUAAUGUCGGGAAUUUCCACCGGGCAUCCUCAAGAAUUAUGCCUUUGGGCGAGUAAAACAACCUGUGAAAGAUUCAUCUCAAUCGGUUUGAAAUGAGCUGGCGCAAAUGAAAUGAAGUAGGAAUUUUCAGCCGAAAUGUAUGGUAAAUUGGAGGACCUUAAAUCUAUCGUACAGUACGUCGGUUUAUCGUGCUCGACUUGGCUCAAAAUAAAGAAAAAAACAGUUGAUUCCUGGGGAUAAAUUGUAGAAGAUAAUGUUAUUCUUGAUUGCUUUCUCGAUUGUCUCCAAAUCCGUGCACGUGCGUGAGCAAUUUAAAUGAAGGAUAACAUAGCCACCUAUGAUUCGAUUCGCGCAAGUUUCGACGAGCAUCAUGUGUUGUAGGUUACUGUAGUGUCUACCUAAUGAUUGUGUGCAUAGGAUAUCUACCCACAUGAAAUACCAUCAGGGUACCAGAUUCCGCUCAUCUAAGGCCAGUUUUGCAGAAAAACAUCAUCUGUUAAAUGACUGGUAAGCCAAUUUGUAAUGUUUUUGCAUUUUAAGUUAGUUUAAUCUAAGUAGGGUGGGGCGGGGCAAGAUGGGUCGCGGGGAAAGAUGGGUCAGUGCCAUUUUCGGGCGCAUUAUUUAUGUUUUGAUUAUGUUAAUAAUUUUGUUAGAUGACCAGCAUGAAUAUACAAAAGUUUGGGGCAUUGAUUGAAAAAUUAUUCACUCUCAUUGAAAAAAAUAAAUAAAAUGGUUUUAGCCAUUUUUCUUAUGCGAUACAUUCCAUAUAACCUCCAUAUAAACGGCUGCGGGGCAAGAUGGGUCACCUUCAAUUUUGAACGUAUUUUUGGAGCAUUCAAAAGUUAUUUAUUUUUUAUUACAAGACUAUCUCAUAAAUGACUUCAAUCAAGCGGAAUGAAUGCUCAAAAUAAUAACAUAAAAUUAUGAUAUUUUUUUAGUGAAAACAUCGAUUUUCAAGUCGCAUUAGGACCACUCAAAUCGUAAAGCUUUUUAUAUUCCAGAUAAAUUUAUAAAAUGUUUACUAGUAGCUCUUGUUUACUCAGUAUGGAUAUGGAGCAUAUAUGAAUGAGGAACAAAUCUUAUAUUUUGACGUUUUUCGUUGAGAAAAUGUGAAUUACUUAAAAGGUGACCCAUCUUGCCCCGCACUUUUUUCACGGCACAAAAUCGAUAACUUUUUAAAACUACUUGUUUAACAUCAUAUUGUGUAUUCAAUGAACUUUUUAUCGACUUUUAGCAUAGCUAACUAGUGUAUUAAAGAGUGGCGGACGAAUACAAACCAAUACGAUUUGUAUUUACAAAGUUAUGGUGAUCCAUCCUUAGGUGACCCAUCUUGCCCCGCGACCGUUUAUAUGGAGAUUAUAUGGAAUGUAUCGCAUAAGAAAAAUGGCUAAAAACCAUUUUAUUUUUUAUUUCCAAUGAGAGUGAAUAAUUUUUCAAUCAAUGCCCCAAACUUUUGUAUAUUCAUGCUGGUUAUCUAACAAAAUUAUUAACAUAAUCAAAACAUGAGUAAUGCGCCCGAAAAUGGCACUGACCCAUUUUGCCCCGCGACCCAUCUUGCCCCGCCCCACCCUAUUACUUGCCAGUAGAGUUAUCGGGAAGCUUUCCAGGCUCGAACAUCGGGGCAGCCUCCAGGGGUUCGUGUAUCAGCGGGGUUUGAUUCAUACGGGUUCACUUCGGUUCUUCGGGGCUCUUCCGAGGCAUGCCGGUCAACUGCGAAAUGUUUCCUUCCGGGUCCUUCUAGACGUUGCUUGGAUUCCUGAUCGAAUUGGAUCCUGAAUGAUCGUCCCGCCGAUCGUGAAUUUCCGUGGGCGGGUACUUUUUGGAGUCGCUGGGGUAUCGUUCCAAGCUCGACGUUCCACGUGCUCGCUGUCGAGGCGGAAACGCAUCGGAUAUUAGGUUCUAGCAAGCGGGGGCGGACCCAGCCGGACCUCACUAGAACCCUCACCUCAAAAACUGUGGUUACCUGUCUUCUCGCAGCGUGUGGCGCGACGAUGACGAAAGCUCGUCGGCCACCAGCACGGGACUCGCCGAGUCCUCCGGUAUGAUUUGAGGCCGAGUAAGGUAGCUGUCACAAUCGGGUACCGGGUGGAUUCUCCUUCGCUUGCCAGAUUCCAAACGAGGCAAUGGGUGUGGAUGCAAGGGCCUUCGGGUUGCCGACUGGUGCGGAAAUCUUCUCCUGGCGCGACACCGGGGUUAAUCUUGGCAAAUUCCGAAUUCCGCGGAUGAUCUUCUGCUGGUCGAUGGCUUCCCCAAGGGCUUCACUUGACGGGCGGAGUACUUCGCACGAGAUUCGCCAGCCACUCGAAACUGUGGGACGGUCUCGCCAGCCACGUUUUUCUUCUCUUCAA